rnacentral:tRNA from 1 species
UGGGGAGUGGUGCAAUGGCAGCACAGAGGCCUUUGGAGCCUUUGAUCUUGGUUCGAGUCCAGGCUCCCCAG